GUCCACGCCGUAACGAUGAAUGUUAGCCGUCGGGUGUUACACUUCGGUGGCGCAGCUAACGCAUUAACAUUCCGCCUGGGAGUACGGUCGCAAGAUUAAACUCAAGGAAUUGACGGGCCCGCACAAGCGGUGGAGCAUGUGGUUUAAUUCGAAGCAACGCGCAGAACCUUACCAGCCCUUGACAUACCGGUCGCGGACACAGAGAUGUGUCUUUCAGUUCGGCUGGACCUGAUACAGGUGCUGCAUGGCUGUCGU
rnacentral:rRNA from 1 species